CCCCCGCCGCGCUCCGGGCCGUGCGGCCGGCGGGCGGGCAGGGGGAGCCGCUGAGGCGGCGGCCACCUGCGGGGGAGGCCGGGCGAGCCCCCGCAGCUCGGCGGGAUGAGGGCCGAGCCGCGCCCCGCUGCUCCUCUCCUGCAGAGACAGCCCCGGCUCCUCGGGCGCUAGGGCGCUGUGUGUGCCACGGCAGCCCCUCGCCACCGCCCCCGGGCCGGGGAGGAGAGAGAAGCGGCGGGGGCGCGGAGCCUCUUUCCUCGGCCGGGCUUGCCGGGCGGCCCCUGCUGCGCGCUGAGCUCUCCGCGCUGCCCCCGCCCCGCGUCCCUCCCGCGCCCGUCUGCCGCUUCCGCCCCUUCGGACGGGCGGGAGAGGGGACGGGGGAAGUUAUUUGGAAAUAAAAAAAGCCAAGGGGGGAUGGAGAACUGAGCGCAGGCGGAAGGACGGGUCUCGCUUGUGUUGGAAGUGGCCGAAGCGGCGGAUCUCACCUGGAGGAGGAGGAGGGCAUCGCACCGCCUCUCCCGCCGCCGCCUACAUCCCCCGUGCACAGACACGUCUGCCCGUAUCUAUCACAGGUUUUGCUGAAACCUAAAGGAUGUGGACCCAGUUUGUUACAGAAUCACAGAAUCACCAGGUUGGAAGAGACCUUCAAGAUCACCGAGUCCAACCCAUGCCCCAACACCUCAACUAAACCAUGGCACCGAGUGCCACAUCCAGUCUGGUUUUAAACACAUCCAGGGAUGGUGACUCCACCACCUCCCUGGGCAGGAGGACAUACUAUGUUAUUGACAUACAAUGAAGUUGUUUCAUAAAGUAGAAAUGUUCUGUAGCUCUUGUUUUUAGAAACUGCAUUUUCCUGAAUAGCAAACAGCUCAUAUUAGGAUGUAAAAUAAAUGUUCAUUAAAAUAUUGUCUAUAUCUGACUGAUAGCCUGAGUAUAGAAUGAAACAACACCAUCUACUUCCUAAUGAACUCUCUUGUGUGUGUAUGGACUUCAGCUUCCUAGUAGAUUGUCAGACACAAAUGCAAAUGUAUCCCAGUAAAAAAAAAAAAAAAAAAAAAAAAAUAAACCAACCAAAAACCCAAAAUCUAUUACAGGAUUGGAAAGCAAUAUCUCUUCAUAAUAUGUGACUUGGAGGGGAAAAUCUUUGAGAUAUUUUGUGACUUAACAUCUACUUGAUCAUUAAAGUUUCCUGACAUGCUA